UCUGCAGUCGACGAUGAGUACCUUUCGGGGUACAUCAGUGGCGGACGGCUGAGUAACACGUAGGUAACGUGCCCUUUACUGGGGGAUAACAUCGGGAAACCGGUGCUAAUACCGCAUAAGUGCCAGGUUGAAAUACCUGUCAUUAAAGAAUUUCGGUAAAGGAUCGGCCUGCGUCUGAUUAGCUAGUUGGUAGGGUAAAGGCCUACCAAGGCAAUGAUCAGUAGUUGGUCUGAGAGGAUGACCAGCCAGAGUGGGACUGAGACACGGCCCACACUUCUACGGAAGGCAGCAGUAGGGAAUUUUGCGCAAUGGGCGAAAGCCUGACGCAGCAACACCGCGUGUAGGAUGAAGGAUCUUGGUCUGUAAACUACUGUCAGCAGGGAAUAAUUUUGACUGUACCUGCAAAGGAAGCAUCGGCUAACUACGUGCCAGCAGCCGCGGUAAGACGUAGGAUGCAAGCGUUGUCCGGAAUUAUUGGGCGUAAAGAGUUCGUAGGCGGUUAUCUAAGUCUGGUGUUAAAGCCCGAAGCUCAACUUCGGCAUGGCAUUGGAAACUGGAUAGCUAGAGUGUGGUAGAGGUAUCGUGAAUUCCUGGUGUAGCGGUGAAAUGCGUAGAUAUCAGGAGGAACACCGGCGGCGAAAGCGCGAUACUGGGCCAUAACUGACGCUGAGGAACGAAAGCCAGGGGAGCGAAAGGGAUUAGAUACCCCUGUAGUCCUGGCCGUAAACGAUGGAUACUAGGUGUUGGAGGAUUCGACCCCCUUCAGUGCCGUAGCUAACGCGAUAAGUAUCCCCGCCUGGGGAGUACGACCGCAAGGUUGAAACUCAAAGGAAUUGACGGGGGCCCGCACAAGCGGUGGAACAUGUGGUUUAAUUCGAUGCAACGCGAAGAACCUUACCUGGGCUUGACAUCUUUGGAACCUUGCGGAAACGUGAGGGGUGCCUUCGGGAGCCAAAAGACAGGUGGUGCACGGUUGUC
rnacentral:rRNA from 1 species